rnacentral:piRNA from 1 species
UGGAUAUUUUUUCAAAGAAUA